GAUGAACGCUGGCGGCGUGCCUAAUACAUGCAAGUCGAGCGAACAGACGAGGUGCUUGCUCCUCUGACGUUAGCGGCGGACGGGUGAGUAACACGUGGGUAAUCUACCUUUAAGCGUGGGAUAACUUCGGGAAACCGGAGCUAAUACCGGAUAAUAUAUUUAACCGCAUGGUUCAAUAGUGAAAGAUGGUAUUGCUUCCACUUAUAGAUGGACCCGCGCCGCAUUAGCUAGUUGGUAAGGUAACGGCUCACCAAGGCAAGGAUGCGUAGCCGACCUGAGAGGGUGAUCGGCCACAUUGGAACUGAGACACGGUCCAGACUCCUACGGGAGGCAGCAGUAGGGAAUCUUCCGCAAUGGGCGAAAGUCUGACGGAGCAACGCCGCGUGAGUGAUGAAGGUUUUCGGAUCGUAAAACUCUGUUAUUAGGGAAGAACAAAUGUGUAAGUAGAUAUGCACGUCUUGACGGUACCUAAUCAGAAAGCCACGGCUAACUACGUG
rnacentral:rRNA from 1 species